AAGAGAUAGGGUUCUCACGAGCCCGACCUCCAACCCUUUGUCUACCAAACCUCUGUUGCCUCGGCGGGUCGUCGGUUCCCUUCACCGGGCGCCGCCGUCGGCCCUAGCGCUCUCGAGUGCCCGCCGCAGGAUCAUUGAAACUCUUUUUAGAAUUAGUAUAAUCUGAGUGGAAUUUAAUGCUUCAAUUA
rnacentral:misc_RNA from 1 species